CUCUCCUGCCAACAUUUAAACACUUCCUGUAAGACAGGCGGGCGGCAGGAAGUUGCACCGUUGACCGGAGAUGCUUCAGUCGAGAGCAUGAAAGAAGCGCAAGCGUGCCGAUCGUGGCUUCCAACUUUUGAGUCAUGGCUUUAAUGGGAAUGGCAUCUGGCUGGAUCUCCGCUCCCUCCCGAACGCCCACGCCGAACCGACGUGCAGGAACACUCUUCCUAUUUCCAUUAAAGUUCAUUUAACCUCUACGCACACAUACGGGUCCCGGGGUCUCUUCCUGAUGGGUCUGGACUUUACUGCCGCUGGGACUUUUGCUUAAAACUCUUAACAAACAGAG